rnacentral:misc_RNA from 1 species
GAACUGCGAUACGUAAUGUGAAUUGCAGAAUUCAGUGAAUCAUCAAAUCUUUGAACGCACAUUGCGCUCUCUGGUACUCCAGGGAGCAUGCCCAUUUCAGAAUCAUUUGAAUCUCUCACCCCGUUUCCCGGGGUGGAUGCUGGGCUUUUUGCGCGCCUUUUGGCGCCCAAUGGUCUUAAAUGCAUUGUAGGGUUGCCUUCGACUGGAGGCAGUUGACGGCCAAAAGUGCAACAGAUUUUUACUCUAUUUCGCUUUGACGUUGACCUGGCGUCCGCUGACGGCGGCCUACUAUAAUGAAUUAGCGGGGGGGAGGUCCUCUGGGACUUUUCAUCCGCAAAAUCUGGUCUGAAAUUGGGCAAGAGAACCCGCUGAACUUAA